rnacentral:rRNA from 1 species
UACAGAGGUCUCAAGCGUUGUUCGGAUUCAUUGGGCGUAAAGGGUGUGUAGGUGGCGCCGUAAGUCGGGUGUGAAAUUUCGGAGCUUAACUCCGAAACUGCAUUCGAUACUGCCGUGCUUGAGGACUGGAGAGGAGACUGGAAUUUACGGUGUAGCGGUGAAAUGCGUAGAUAUCGUAAGGAAGACCAGUGGCGAAGGCGGGUCUCUGGACAGUUACUGACACUGAGGCACGAAGGCCAGGGGAGCAAACGGG